UUUGUACAAUUUUUUUUUUGAUUUUUAAUUAGUGUAUUUUUUAUUUUAACAUGGAUUGGGAGUUGUCCGGUAGAAUAUCCAUAUGAAAUAAUUGGUCGUAUUUUUAGGGUUUUAUAUUUUACUUGUUUUUU